rnacentral:lncRNA from 1 species
GCUGGCCCAUUAGCCCACAAGGCCCAAAAGGGCCGGACUUAAUAAUUGCUAGCCCAAUAAUCAGGCCGGGCCAGUCUAGCCCAUUUAUUUUGGCGGGGCCACCAAGUCGGACCGGGCUGGGCCGGGCCAGCCUAUUUGACAGCUCUAUCUUACGUCGCCUAUGAAUGAGUAAAAUGGUAAAAUGUUGGAUAUAUAAAAGGCAUGACUCCUAUACAUGAUGUCUUAAGAUUUUAGGUGGAGAUAUGUCAUCUCCCGGAUCGUGGAAUAUUUGAUCGUUGAUGUUCUGAGCACUCACCUAGGAGACUAAUCACUCGCACUUAUUCAUAACAAUACAAAUAAUUAAAAACAUGGCAAUUUGAGAAGAAUAUGGAUGUCUUUGCUAGUAAAUGGACUACCAUAUUUACUUGUGGUCUUACAAACUUACACUAAAAUUUGAUUUAGACCGAAGGAUUCUUACAAUUACUCAUUUUUCAUGCCAAAAUAUGACAGGUUUGCUUCAUUUGUCCAUUCUAUGUUAUGUUACAUUCAUUUCCCUUAAAAAACCACACAAAUAUAUGCAUCAGCAGUACACUUUGUGUCAUAUAUAGAAACAAAAUACUAUAUAGAUACAAAUUAGAUCUAUAUCAAAUUAUCUUUGGCAAUCCCUUUUCUUUUUCUCUGCAUAUUUGCAGAAAAUAGCCCUUCUUUCCUUGCUCUUUUAUUAAGAAACGAAAGAGCCAGUGUGAAAGUGCAAACAAUAGUUACAAUGACUGUUUCUGAUAAGAAAACUACAUAGCCCAAAGACAGAAAAAAUGUAUGAAAAGGUAAAAUUAACAGUUGAAAGAACCACAAUAUUUAGCAAUACCUUUUUGAAUUGCAAAAUUUGUAGGACUAGCUAGUUUUUCAGCUGCAGGUGAUCGGACCAUGGUGCGAACUGUGAUGCUGUACUGUUGCAAGUUGCAACGCAGUUGGACUAGUAUGUUUGAUCGUGAUACACCGACUAGUUUACAUUUUUUUUUGUGUGUAAAUCAGGUAUAAAUCGGAUAUCAUUUAUACGCGAUUGCAAAUACUAAUCAUUUGAGUAGGAUAAUAAGACUAUAAUGGAUGAAAUCACUAUUGAAUUUCUAUUAAUUUAAAAGUAUUAUAGUUUUAUUCUUACAGUAUAUAGAAUAUUCACUGAUUCAAAAAAUACUGGUCAAAUGAAAUACUAGUAUUAGUAUAUAUGGUUCUGUUCUAGAAUAUUCAUCACAGCUAAUAAUAUGGUCCAAUGUUAUUUCAUAUUUGUCUUUGACAAUAAAAUAGGUUCAUAUGGUCAAGAUGUAUAUUAUAUAGUAUUGUACUGUACUGUAAGAUGCAUAAUUAUCCAAGAAUUUAUCGGAUUCAAGUGGAAUUUUACAAAACUGUGAGCAUUUAAAGCCUUUUGGACUUACUUGAUGUUAGAUGAACCUACUCACUGUGCAUUCAGCAGGACAGAUUAGACUGAUUGUCUCCACCCAAUCAUUUCUUUCCAGUAUUUUUUUAGUGUAAAGUCUG